rnacentral:lncRNA from 1 species
GCCAACUAAGCCCAUACGAUCGUAGUAACUUUGUACCCAGUCCUAGCUUUUCAAACAUAAUGAUAAUAUGUUCUUUCUAAUGUGGCCCAUACUGUUCUAAUGAACUUAUGCUGAGUUUUUCUGAGUACUAGAAUAAUAUUCGCCAUAAAUAAUAGAUAUAAUUAUUCUCAUUUAAUAUUUGCGUAGCUCUUCUUUAAAGCAGAAAGUAUUUUCUCAUUCCUUACUAGAACCUUUCUGUGUGAGGAGCACUGAGCUAGAACCCAUAUCUUAGAAUGGUCAGAAUUUGGAGAAAUUCAGGGAAAAGGCACUGGACUCAUUUUUAAAGACUAGAAAAUGCAACCUCCAGAAAAAGAUUCAAGAGUUUUUUACUCCCAGAGAUGUAGGAAAGAUUGGAGUAAAUCUUAAUAUUAUAUUUCAGGUAAACAAAGGAUCACUGUCAAAAUAGCAGCAUUUAUUGAGUAAUGGCUGUGUGCCAGGUACUUUACAGUUUCACAUUUAACCCUCAUAAUAACCUUGUAAAGUGGAUAUCCCCUCAGUACAUGAUGAGAACACUGAAGCUUAGGUUAAAUGAUUGUCCAAAUCGGACAAUCAUUUUCAAAAUCUCCCCCUUUUUUUCUCCUUUCUUAUCUGCAAGGCAGAUUGCCCUUUCCCUUUCAGUGAAACUUGUGCAUGACCACAUGACUCUCUUUGGCCAAUGAAACAUGAACAAGCAGCGUUUAUCACUUUCAGAUGGAAGGCUUUGCAUGAGCUUUGCCUCCUUUUCACUCUGCCACAGUGGCCACUAACAUUCCAGAUAGUGGCGCUCUGCAGGCUAGGUCCUAUAGUGGGAGCUAUGGGCAGAGCCCCCUUUCCCACCCCCAUCAAGAUGUGCAUGCUGCAUAAGCCAUGCAUUAAUCUUUGCAGUUUUAAGCCACUAAGUUUUGGAGUUAUAUUAAUCAUUAAUCAUGGUUCUCAAGAGAAACAGAGUGGGGGAGUGGUAUUCAUUAUGGGAAUUGGCUUACAUGAUUAUGGAAGCUGAGUAGUCCCCCAGUCUGCUGUUUUUGAGCUGGAGAACUAGAGGAGCCAGUGGUAUAAUUCAGCCCAAGCCUGAAGGCCUGAGAAAUGGGAUGGGGGAAUUGGGAGGGUGGGUGUGCUAGGGUAGGAUAAGUCCUGAAGUUCAAAGGCCAGCCAGAAGGUGGAUGUUUCAGCACCAGAAGAGAGAGCAAAUUCGCUUUUCUUCUGCCUUUUUGUCCUCUCUGGGCCCUCAAUGGAUUGGAUGAUGCCCUCCCACAUUGGUAAGGGUGGAUCUUCUAUACUCAGUCUGCUAAUUUCUUCCAGAAACAUCUUCACAGACACAUCCAGAAAUAAUGUUUUACCAGCUAUCUCGGUAUCCCUUAGCCUAGUCCAUAUUUAAAAAUUAAUGAUCACAAGCAGUUGUUUGUUUCCACAGCAAAACCUGGGUGACAGACCAAGUGACCCAGAUGACUAGAAUUUGACCUUCUUUUGUUGCCCACACCAUACUCUGAACUAACAUGCUGUGCUGCCUUCCAAGUGGAGAAUGAUGGCUAAGUAUCUUCUACCUAAUUUGAGUCACAGAAAAAAAAAAAAAAGGUUAUUAACUGCAGUGACAAGAAUUGUGAUUCCCCAGGGGGCAGAUCAAGACUGAUAGAUAAGAGAAGUGAGGAACAUCUGGGGAAUGUCCAUUGAAAAUUUACUCAGAAGAGAAGAAUAAUUAAUAUAAUAAUAUGAUAUAUUGAAUUAUAAUAAAUAAUAUUUUGAUGUAUUUCCUUCCAGGCAUGUUUAAGUUAUAGACUUUGAGUAUAUUUUCUCAAAGGGGGUUCUAUGUAAGAGACUAUUUCUUAAUAUAGUUCCUAGCUUGGAAUUGCUCUUGCUGGUUUAAGCUGAGCUUAUUUUAUUACAGACUUCACAACAAUAACGUUUUCCUUCACUAGUCAGUACACAAGAUGGUCUUCAUUUCCAGUUUGGAAUCCCACACUAUCAGAGCCUGAGACAAGGACUAGUAUGCAGUUAGUUUGUUUGGGAGGUGAUUCCAGGAAGUGGGAAUGAGAGAUCAGUCAGCCUGCAACACGAAGGAGGAAAAGUCAAUAUAAGGAUGAAUUUGGCAAUUGGCCGUUUCAUGCAACUGGGGCUAAAUUUUGCUUGGCUCUCUAAGAAAUGUAAAGAAUGCCUCCCGUAAUUGCUCACCUCAAGUAUUUAUUCAUUGGCUCUCAUGCUCCAUUGGUUGUCCAUGAGAACUUUAGCCCUCCCUCGCUGCAGCACAGACACUGUGCUUUCUCCUAGGCUGAGCAAGCUCCUGCAUCUGUGGAAACCGUCCCGGGGCAGAUAGUGAAAUAAUGACUGCUGCGUGCUUGAGAUCUGGGAAAGAGGCCACAUCAUAAGUGCACUGAAAUCAGAGAUGUGUCAAGAGAUGUGACACAGGGCAUCUGAGGUGUCUACUGCACCAGCUAUAACUCCCUAAACGCUAAUCUCAGUUCUUACAGAGGGGAUGGAUGCAAGGGAACAGUCAUGAUUGAGAGCACCGAAGAAGCUCUGUAUGAACCUUAGGCAAGUUUCCUAAUCUCCAAAAUGAAGGUAAUAAUACCCACCAUCCAAGAUCUUCGGGAGGAAUAGAUGAACUAAUGUAUGUGAAAAUGUCCAGCACAGGUCCUAACCCAUAGUAGGUGCUCACCAAAUGUUAGUUCCCUGCCCUCCACGUUGUGUGUAUCCGGAGCUGCACUAGAUGCUGAGGCAAAUGGUCUCAAAUGUACUUUAACACUUAAUGACUGAGAUUUUUUCUGAGCUGCCUACAGGUUAUUGACUAUAUUCAUUAUUAAUAAUAAUAUAUAUGGCCACUUCAGGCAACUGGGGCUAAAUUUUGCUUGGCUCUCUAAGAAAUGUAAAGAAUGCCUCCUGUAAUUGCUCACCUCAAGUAUUUAUUCAUUGGCUCUCGUGCUUUAUUGGUUGUCCCUGAGGACUUUAGCCCUCUCUCACUGCAGCACAGACACUGUGCUUUCUCCUAGUUUCUGUGGCAAGUGACAGGAGCCCACCUCAAACUAAAGCAAAAGGGACUUCAUUGGCUCUUGUAGCUAGGAAUUCCAGGGUUGGCACUGGCUUUGGGCACUACUGGAUGCAGGAAUUCAAACAAUGUCUUCAACUCUUUCUUUUGGUGUUUCUCUCAGCUGUGCUUCUCUUGUCGUUUCUUUUUCCCAUUUUACAGAUAAGUUCAUCCGUAACUGAGAGAGGUGAAAAGGGGAUGGCUGCAGAGAACUCUGGCUUAUAUCAUCCUUGCUUGCUGACCUCAAGGUCCAUGUAUAAAUUCUCAGAGAAGAAGCCCUCUGGUUGGUGAUGCUUGGAACAUGCCCUGGAGGGUGGGCCCCUUGAAGUGGAGCUUGCUGGAACCACAUGGGCUGGAGCAAGGCGCUAGGGCCAGAAGAGAGAGGUAGGCAGGGCUGCUGGCCAGGCACUCUUCACCAAGACAAGGCAAGAGGAGGGGCAUGAUUGAGGCAGUGAUACAGAAAGCAGACAGUAGAGGUCGUGGCAAGUGUGCCGUUACUUGCUACCUGUGGUUGAUGGGAGAGUCACACCACAUUUAGGAGGAGAGAAUCCAUUUGCCACUUCUGACAAUGCCACAAGAAUCACAUAUUUCAUCCAGAGGUUGAAUUUGGCCCAUGCUGAGCUUUAAAAUACAGAGCUGUCUUGGAACAAUGGCUCAGUACAUUCAUUUGGUGUCCAACAAAGCCUGCCUCUGUUGCCUUCCCUCUCUCUGUGUGCCCUUCAAGAUCUUCAUUGUGCUUUGGGGAGAGAAAGAGAAAAUGUCAUAUCAGGGUAGCUCACCCCAUGUGUCCUGGACUCAGGAAAAGAGUAUCUUAUCACCUUACUCUUUUGUUAUUAUAAAAAAUAAAGUUGAACGUCUUCAAAUAAAAUAAAGAAGUAUAGAAAAAAUUUUAAAUUAACCUGUUAUGAUUCUACCUAGAGAACCAUUGUCAACAUCUUGGUAUAUGUACUUCCAGAUACUUUCCUAUGAAUAUAUACAUUGUAGAUUUUUUAAUAUUAAAAGGCUAUCAUGCUGCUUUGUAUACAGGCUUUCUUUACUGAUAUGUAAUAUAAUACACAGACAAAUAUACAAAUCCUAAGCCAUCAACUCAUUGAAUUUUUAUUCAUUGUUUUUAAUACCUGCAUUGUGUUCCAUUGUUAGGCUAUGUCACAACAUAUUUAAUUAAGCCCCUAUUGAUGAAUAUUAAUUUACUCUAUUUGCCAGUUCAUUCCAGUCCAACAUUUAUUGAGUGUCUACUUACGGGCCAGGCACUCUUGUAUUCAUCAAGAUCACCACAUUAUCUGUAUCAGUUAUUUAUUGCCACAAUAAAACUGCAUAACAAAUCACUCCAAAAUGUAGCACCUUAAAACUACAACUACUUAUUAUUUCUCAAGAGUCAAUGGGUCAGCUGAGCAGUUCUGCCGAUAGGGGUCAAGGUCAACACAUUUCAACUAGACUACUUGUAAAAAAGAAUGAGUGUCUGGGUAGGUGUGUUCUUCUAAAAAUAAAACAAGGAAUGAGGAAAUUGCAGGUAGGAUAAGAGGGGUGGUUGGCAACCAAACCCCACAAAAGGCAGACAAAUUUUAAGGAAACAUAAUGCCAGACUCCUAUGUCAUCAUCCAAGUAGAUGCAGUGAAGUAUAACCUGGGGCGUAGUAGGGUAGGAGUGGGGAGAGCAGAGGAGAAGGAAGGGAGAUUGCUUUUCAUCACUUUUGGAUUCCCUAAUAACAGACAUGACUGCCAGUAUUAAAAUUUAACAAAGGAUAUCUGAUCAUUAAUUUUCCUGUAUAAGUCACUGGUGAUCUUCAACAUCUCUCCCUCCCUUCCUCCCUUCCUUCCUCCCACCCUCCCUUCCUUCCUUCUUUCCUCUUUUGCUUUCAACUUCCUUUUCUCGUUUCCUUUUGCUUUCUUUCUCUUCUCCCUUUUUUCUGUCACUCUGGGCGUAUGUAGUAGUGUAAAAAGGUUGACAGAGAAAUCAAAUAUAACAGGAGCAGGGCCCUGAGAAAAGCACCUGGCAUCCUGUAGGCAAACCAUUGUUUCUAAAAGAAGGGACUGAGAGAUUGAGGAGCUCAGGACAUUGCCAAAUGAACAAGGCAAGCACAUUUAUUCAGUACCAAACAAACGGAAAACGGCCUUUCCAAAUAACUGACCUAUAAAACAGCCUUUUCACAAGAGUACCGUAAUUACUGGCCAACAGCAACAAUGAAAAACAACUCCCAAACAAAGAAAUAUUUCUGGAUUAAAAGCCAUGAGAUCUGGAUUCUAACAAGCUGUGCUCCUCAAACUACAAGUACAAAAUCUGGCUCUAAACUAACAAGCUAUGAGCCUCAAACUGAUGACUGGCAUGUUUGGGUCUCCAUCUCCUUCUUGGGGGUUGGGGUCUUAGAGACCCUUUUCCACGCCCUGAUUCUCUUACUAGUGUGUAUGCUUUCCUUUUGACUUCUCAUGCUGACCGUCUGAGCAGGAGUGAGAAGCAAUUUCAAAGGAAAACAUCGUUUAUCAUCUGCUGAAAGAAACCAAAAAGAACACAGGAAAACAAAAAGACAAGGAAAGGGAAUGAAAAUGUAAUUCAUUUUAUUAAAAAGAAGAAUUAUUCUUCUGGGACACUGGAUAGAAACCUUAAUGAGUUACCUAGCUAUCAUAAAUCCUCUAACAGAGAAGAGAAGAGAAAGAAACAAAGACGGAAGAGGGCAGGAUAAAAGAAAGAAAAAAGGAAGGGAAAAAUGAAGGAAGGAAGUUAUCUAUUCAUUUCUACAGAGACUCUGCUGAGCAGUAGACAAGAAGACUUGGGAAAAAUUUAACUGAAACUUUUCCAAAAAUCUUUUCAGAGGGAUUUUUUCCCUCUGAAAAGCAUCAUUAGAGGCUGUUCAAUACCCAAGGCAAGCCUCUUUCAUAUUACUUACUGUACAUGAAACACUCAUGCAAUUGAGGCUAGCCAGAGGCCAUUUAGAAAUUCAAUAAUUAUUCAACCCAAGGGGCUUUCCAAAUGGUGAAGUAGCUUCUUAAGAGGAAAUUAAUAUUGAGCAGUAUAGCAAACCUAAUUGGAAUCUUGAGAAAAUAGUUCUGUGUCGUUAGAACAGCUAGAGGCUAAAGAAGAUCAGGUUGGAUGAUACCUUCAUUUUUGUCUCUUUCCUUAAUUAUGAUGUAAAGGGAAAAAUCUUGUUU